rnacentral:rRNA from 1 species
GACGAACGCUGGCGGCGUGCUUAACACAUGCAAGUCGAACGGAAAGGCCCUGCUUUUGUGGGGUGCUCGAGUGGCGAACGGGUGAGUAACACGUGAGUAACCUGCCCUUGACUUUGGGAUAACUUCAGGAAACUGGGGCUAAUACCGGAUAGGAGCUCCUGCUGCAUGGUGGGGGUUGGAAAGUUUCGGCGGUUGGGGACGGACUCGCGGCUUAUCAGCUUGUUGGUGGGGUAGUGGCUUACCAAGGCUUUGAUGGGUAGCCGGCCUGAGAGGGUGACCGGCCACAUUGGGACUGAGAUACGGCCCAGACUCCUACGGGAGGCAGCAGUGGGGAAUAUUGCACAAUGGGCGGAAGCCUGAUGCAGCAACGCCGCGUGCGGGAUGACGGCCUUCGGGUUGUAAACCGCUUUCGCCUGUGACGAAGCGUGAGUGACGGUAAUGGGUAAAGAAGCACCGGCUAACUACGUG